GGGCACCCUGUCCACAGCUGAUUCAAUCAGCGGUGGCCAUCUCGCCCAUGUGAUGACCUUUGGUUUGUCACUUCUGGGAAUUUGAAAUGGAAACUUUGAGACUGAGCCAUAGAUGAGAGCAGGCAGGUGGAUAUGGAGUUCCCAGGAUGUGGCCAAGCUCUGUGGCCACGGCUGAAGAAGGGACAGAGAGCUGGGGGGCAGCAGACUGGUCCUAUUCCAUCAUGGAGGAGGGAACGGAAGUGAGAACUUAGCCCCAAAAGGAAUGGGAAGAAAGGAAAAAGGGGAUCCAACUUUUGUUCAGUGCUUGCUCCUCAUCUGCUGCCAGCUUGCUGGCUGCCACAAAGACAAGCUGGUCGUUUUCUGGGCUGAGCACUUCUCUGGGAGCUGGGAAAUAAACCACAACCAAACUCUCGCUGACACCUUUGCCAAGCCAAUAAACCGCAGUUCGUGGGAAAGAUGAAGACAUUGAGCUGUGGUGAGAUUAAACAACUUGCCCAACGUCACACAAGCAGUGGUUGCAGCUGAAGCUUGCUGCUUUGCGAACAAGAAAGAUGCUGCUGCUUCCAAAGGACAGAGUCAAACCCAGCAGGAAUACCAGCUACAGGGACCAGGGGAGCAUCCUGGCAGUCAAGCCAGGUCAUGGAUCAGAGGAACCAAAGACAGAUAUGAUCUGAGAAGUCACAUGAGUUCAAGGUUCCUUCUUUCUCCCAGCAUGGCAACAUUCACCUCAGAGAAGCAGGGAGCUAAAGCACGUGUAAUAGGAACCCUGAUUUUCUGCCUCUUCCACUGUACUGUCCAAUAAAUGCUACUGGUCUCAGUUGAGCAAGAAGACUGGGAAUUUACUCAUCUGAACAGGAUGUGUAAAGCAUGCCCAAGCUAGGGGUGCACCCCACAGAAACCAAAGAGAAAGAAGAAAAGUUACCAUUCUAAGAGGCACACAAUAGACGAAUUUGUUUUUCCUCUUGCUCACUAUUUUAAAAAUCUGCACAAAAGGGGGGUCUUUGUCUUUUGAGUGUUCAUCUGCUUCUGCACUCUCUCCCUUAAUGGCUGUGAAAACGAUUCUGACCAUGCUAUCAUGAGCUGAAGAAUAGGACUUUCAUGUUGGGAGAAAACCUGCCUUGAUCAUUAAAA